AUGAGUUGUGUCUGGGUUACUGUUGCUAGGUAGAUAUAAAAUUAGCAUGCCACACCCAGACAUUUCUGGACUUGGGUGUGGUGGUCUGGGCAUGCUCACUAGGUUCCCCACAGCUGGACUCAGAAUCCACUGAGGUCCGUUACUCAGAAGAAUACUACUUGACUCCCUGUAAACAGGUUGGAUGCAGUUAAGUACUGUAACUGUAUGUAACAAUUGGAUGAAUUACCUUGAGAUUAAAUGACUGAACUGGAGAAACUGUAUACUCCUGGUUUUAAGAUUCUUGUCUGGGAAUUCCUGUAGAUCCUGAUCCAGAGUCCCUUGAAGUUAAAGGAAAGAAUAUAUUUUAUUUCAAUAGGCUUUUAAUCAGACAUGUAAUGACAAAAGUAUCCUGAGACUUAUU